ensembl:misc_RNA Metazoa_SRP Metazoan signal recognition particle RNA
GCCAGGUAUGGUGGCGCAUGCCUGUAGUCCCAGUUAUUGAGGAGGCUGAAGCAGGAGGAUUGCUUGAGCCCGGGAAGUUGGGGCUGCAGUGAGCUGUUAUUGAACCACCGUACUCCAGCCUGGGCAACAGAGCAAGACUCUUUUCCUU